AUUGAACGCUGGCGGCAUUCUUUACACAUGCAAGUCGAACGGUAACAGGUUAAGCUGACGAGUGGCGAACGGGUGAGUAAUGCAUCGGAACGUGCCCGGUCGUGGGGGAUAACACUUCGAAAGAAGUGCUAAUACCGCAUACGAUCUAAGGAUGCAAGCGGGGGACCGUAAGGCCUCGCGCGAUCGGAGCGGCCGAUGUCAGAUUAGGUAGUUGGUGGGGUAAAGGCCUACCAAGCCGACGAUCUGUAGCUGGUCUGAGAGGACGACCAGCCGCAGUGGGGCUGAGACACGGCCCAGACUCCUACGGGAGGCAGCAGUGGGGAAUUUUGGACAAUGGGCGCAAGGCUGAUCGAGAAAUGGCGCGUGCAGGAAGAAGGACUUCGGGUUGUAAACUGCUUUUGUACGGAGCGAAAAGGCUCUCUCUAAUACAGGGGGCUGAUGACGGUACCGUAAGAAUAAGCACCGGCUAACUACGUGCCAGCCGCCGCAGUAA
rnacentral:rRNA from 1 species